GAGGUAGAAGAAGAUGAGAUGGUUUCCAAUAUUCUUAAUGGUCUUGACUAUGAAUACAAUGCUUUUGUUUCAUCUGUGCUUGGUCGGGCGGAACCAAUCUCGUUGAGUGAUUUGUUUUCCCAAUUGAUGGCCUAUGACC